GCUUCGGCUACCACUUACAGAUGGACCCGCGGCGCAUUAGCUAGUUGGUGAGGUAACGGCUCACCAAGGCGACGAUGCGUAGCCGACCUGAGAGGGUGAUCGGCCACACUGGGACUGAGACACGGCCCAGACUCCUACGGGAGGCAGCAGUAGGGAAUCUUCCGCAAUGGACGAAAGUCUGACGGAGCAACGCCGCGUGAGUGAUGAAGGUUUUCGGAUCGUAAAGCUCUGUUGUUAGGGAAGAACAAGUGCCGUUCAAAUAGGGCGGCACCUUGACGGUACCUAACCAGAAAGCCACGGCUAACUACGUGCCAGCAGCCGCGGUAAUACGUAGGUGGCAAGCGUUGUCCGGAAUUAUUGGGCGUAAAGGGCUCGCAGGCGGUUUCUUAAGUCUGAUGUGAAAGCCCCCGGCUCAACCGGGGAGGGUCAUUGGAAACUGGGGAACUUGAGUGCAGAAGAGGAGAGUGGAAUUCCACGUGUAGCGGUGAAAUGCGUAGAGAUGUGGAGGAACACCAGUGGCGAAGGCGACUCUCUGGUCUGUAACUGACGCUGAG
rnacentral:rRNA from 1 species